GGAGAGAUGGCUCAGUGGUUAAGAGCACUGGCUGCUCUUCCAGAGGUCCUGAGUUCAAUUCUCAGCCACCUCA
rnacentral:tRNA from 1 species